rnacentral:tRNA from 1 species
GCUGCGAUGGCCGAGUGGUUAAGGCGUUGGACUUGAAACCCAAUGGGAUCUUCCCUGCUUGCAGCG